UUUAUUGGCUGUUGACAAUUUCAAGAUAUUUUUUUUUUUUGAUUAUACAAUUUUUUUGUUAUCUUUAUUCCAAUAUGCACAGACUACAGCUGGUAAGUUAUUAUAGCAUACCUUUAUUAACCACUAAUAUUUUAUAAUUGUUAAUAAAAGUUAUUUAAAAUAUUGAUUUUUUGUUACAACAUUGUAAUUUUAGUAUCUACCUCUUGUGCUACACCUGGUAAGUUAAACAACUCUUUUUAAUGUGCACAAAUUUCUCAUUGAUUACAAUAUUGAUUUUUAUAAUAUAUUUUUUACCUUUAGUUCUUUAUACGUGUGGCUACGCCUGUUCCGUCUGUACCACCUUCAAACGGUUGGUGGGUUAAAUAUGAUCAUUUAAAUGAGAAAAAGUAUACUAGUGCAACUUGUAAUCUGGUAAAACAAUUAUGUAUUGUGCUUUCUCUUUUUUAACAAUUGCAUGUGAAAAUGUUGAAAAUGUCAUUUCUAUGUAUUUUUUUUUUAUGUUGGUUGAGGGGAAGGGGGAAAACCAUCCCUCUCUAUAAAUUGUACAUCACUAAUGUAUGUUCUAUUGUAAAAAAAAUAUUGCUUUAUGUAAUACAACAUUUCUUUUAUAACUAUACAACUAUGUUGUAUAGUUAUAAAAGACUAUUUUUUGAGGGGUGAGGUGGUGCAUCAUACUUCCUUUAAUUCAAGUCAAUGUGUACAUCAAUAAUAUAUGUUGAAUAGUAAUAAAAGAUUAUUUUUAAUUUUUAACAAUGCAUUUAAUUAUUGUAAUAAAGAUAAAAUUAAAAAAUUUUCUAAAAAAUUCCCCAAAAUAGUUUAUAUUAUAAUGAAAAAUGACUGUAUUUGCUUUCUGGAAUAUAACAUCCCCCUGUGUAGUGUUUGUAAAUUUCACAAAAAGAAACUGAAAGUCUUACCUAAAAUAUCACAUCCCCUCUAUGAAAACUUUUAAAAUAUUACAUCCACCAAAGUAAUUAUUAAAAUACUUCAAACAAUUUUUAUUUGGCAUCAAGGUUAUAAUAUCCACCAAUUGUUAUUUCUGUAUAUAUCACUAAAAGAAACAGAAGUUCUUCCUUAAAAUAUCACAUCGGGGUUAUGCUUUAAAAGAUUACAUCCCCAAAGUAAUUCAUAUCAUGUUUAAAACAGUUAGUAUUUGGUAUCUAGAAUUUCACAUUCCCUCUGUUUAUCCUUUGUAUAUGUCACAAAAAGAAACUAAAUUUUUAUUUAAAAUAUCACAUCCCCCUUAUGUAUACUUCGAAAACAAUGCAUCCCCCUAAGUAAUGCUUUGCAUUAUUUCAAACGAUUAGUAUUUGGUAUCUAGAAUAUCACAUCCAUCACAUUUAAAUUCUGUAUGUACCACAAAAAGAAACUAAAAUUCUUACUUAAAAUAACACAUCCCCCCUAUGUAAACUUCUAAAGUAUUACAUCGCCCUAAGUAUUUCUUUACAAUAUUUAAAAUAAUUAGUUCCCCCUAUGUAUAUUUCUAAAAUACUAAAUCCCCCUAAGUAAUUUAAACAAUAUUACAAAUUAUUAGUAUUUGGUAUCUUAAACAUCUCAUCCACCUUGUGUAGUCUCUGUAUAUAUCACAAAAGAAACUGAAAUUCUUUCUUAAAAUAUCACAUCCCAUCAAUGUAUACUUUUAAAAUAUUACAUUCCACUAGUAAAUACAUACCAUAUUUAAACGAUUAGUUUUUGGUAUCUGUUUAUUCUCUGUUUAUGUCACAAAAAGACACUGAAACUCUUACUUAUAACAUCACAUUUCCCCCAGGGAAAGUCUUUAAAUAUUACAUCCCCCAAAGUAUUUCAUACAAAAUUUUAACGAUUAGUAUUUGGUAUCUAGAAUAUCUAUGACUUGUAAAUUCUGUAGGUACCACAAAAAACUAAAGUUCUUACUAAAAAUAUCUUCCCAAUGUAUGCUUUUAAAAUACUACAUCCUCCCAAAUAAUUCUUUACAAUAUUUCAAACGAUUAGUGUUUGAUACCUAGAAUAUCACAUCCACAAUUUGUAAUUUCUUAUUUUAAAUAUCAUAUCACCUUAUGCUAGCGAUUCCACAGCUGAGCGAAAAAUAUUUGACGUUUGACGAAAAGCACGAAAUUAUGAAGUUUGCUCUCUUGUAUCUUUUUGUAUAGGAAAGCAAGCAACCUGAGGUUUUUUGCAUCAAUCAGUGUUACUCAACCUCUUUCCAGUCAUAUAUGAAAAGUAUUAUGCGCUAUAUGGCUUCUCUUAAAUGUUAUUCAUAUCUUGAGACCACUUUUGAGAAAUAAUCUUGAUGCGGGAACGUUUUUUUAAAACGAAGCUUUUGGAGGUAAGGAUUCCGAAGUACCAAAACACAUCCAAUUUUUAUAGAACUUUUCGUAUAUAUUAAAAAAAUGUUGAGGAAUCUAAUGGAAUAUGAACACUUUU